rfam:Glycine soja cultivar W05 scaffold148_6, whole genome shotgun sequence.
UUUUUAUUGGACGUUGAUUGUUACAUGUCACGAUUUUAUUAGAUGUUAAUUUGAUGCACUUAAUUAACGUCAACCUCUAAUAAAAUUGUGACACAUGACAAUCAACGUCC